AAACUUUGACAUUACGGUUGAGCUUUGUAAGAUGACGUGUCGGAAGACUCGUAACGCCAAGUCAUUCACCCCUCCCCCCCUCAUUUAUGAAAUCAAUUCACUAUGCAUUCACAUGCCCUGAGGUUGUUUCAGUUGAUGGAUGAAGAUGACGAUGUACAGGACAGAGCAAAGGGUAGCAUUUUUGACGUGAAAAGUAGCGAAAAUCAAAAACCAUUGGAGAAUUUGAUGUUCAGGUAUUAUAGUUUAAGAGUGAUUGUUAUAAUGGUUCUGUUGACAGUAUCACUCUUGGUGUUGCCACUGGUUCUGCCGCCACUUCCUCCGCCACCGCCAAUUCUUCUUCUUGUCCCAGUUUUGAUCAUGGUUUUGCUGAUUUUAUUAGCCUUUGCACCUUCACAAUUGCCCAAUAUUCAUGUCCCUCCUGUGUGAAUAUAUAUACAUAUAUAGACACACACUGACACGUGUAUACGUGUAAAAUCAGAGAAAUCCCAGCGGAAAAUUCACGUAGGAGUCUAGAUCGAGUCACGGUCUCUUAUCUAAUCCCACGCUUUGUUCUUCUUCUAUCAUCGUUGUCAGUGAGACAUUUCAACUAAUAUACUGUGGAAGAACGAAAUCUAUUUUCUUGUUUCUUAUGUUUUUUAGGUCGAUUUGUCUGCAAAUCAUGCUUCUAACUACACCGCUUUGAUCAAUUUAUUUUGAUGCAUUGUGUAUGAUAUUAUAUUGUAAUUUUCUUCAUCAUUUUUUGUUUUAAUUUAUUGCAGUAUGAUUUAAUUGAUUGAGAUUGUGAGUUUGGUUAGACUAUUACGUCAUAUUACUACGAACAAUACAUAGACAAGUAAAUCCCUUAUGAAUUUCAAGGUACUCCUUUACUUGCACUUUUGUGAGUUUGGUUAGACUAUUACGUCAUGUUACUCCCUUUUUUUUUUUUUUUUUUUUUUUUUGUGCAAAAUAUUGGAAACACUAUUUGAACUCAAAACCUUUUUUUAUGUGAAGUAAAUAAAAUGAUUUGAAAGGUAAAGCAAUUGAAAUUUGAUAUUUGAAUUUUCUUGGAAGUUAUAGGGGUAUUAUCUUAUAAUUUUCACAUGGAAAUUAUCAUUUUGUUGCGUAAAUUAAGGGGUUGUUUUACAGAGAUUUGAUAAAAAGUAUCAACAAAUUUUGAUAAAAGUUAAUAAAAUAUGUAAUUAAAAAGUUGUGGGAUUCAUAAAAUGUAUAGUUAUAAUUAAAGUUUUGACAAGUUCAACAUUUUGAUAAAAUUUUAGUAAAGUAUCAAAUAAUCACUAAUAUAUCUAAACAAAAUUGUAAUGCUAAGAUGAAGUUUACUAACAAGAAAUCAAGAAUGCCUAAAUUUCACCCAAUGAUCUAACGAGGAAAAUUUGAUGAAAAUACCUUUUUAAAUUAGUCCAAAGACAGGACUUCAAUUCUUCAAAAACUUUCUGUUCCUAUAAAUUAAUGAUGCAUGGUCCCUUUUUAGAAUUUUAGGUUAAAAAAAAAAAAAAGAACGAAGUAGGUUCAUAUAAAAGAAAACAGUUUGUAUUAGUAUUUUCUUUUCUUUUUCGUGAACUUGAGGGUUUGCAGUGUUUUUUUUUUUUUCCUAGAAAAGAAAUUAAGGUUUAUCUGUGGGUUGCAGAUUCAUCUGUAUUUGGACCACCGCCCGCCGCCUUUAUACGGUGGAGGGUCAGCACCAGCCACCGCAGGUUUUUGCUCCCUAGCUCUACCAUAAAUGUCCUAUAUAGAUAGUAUUUUGACAACCAUUAGAUUCCAGCUGGUAUGUCCGCUUUGGAGUGGGCACAAAUUAUGGUUGCACAUGCAUGUACGACGUACGGGUACAUAAUCUAAUGUGUAUUUAGGUUUCUACUAAAGUACUUUUAUCAAUAUCAACUCGCCAUUGUAAAAUUACAACAAUUGCUGGUUUUCAUCAUUAAGGACAAUUUAUGAAUUUUGAUAAU
rnacentral:lncRNA from 1 species